rnacentral:rRNA from 1 species
UACGUAGGGGGCAAGCGUUGUCCGGAUUUAUUGGGAGUAAAGAGCGUGUAGGCGGCUUUACAGGUCCGUUGUGAAAACUCGAGGCUCAACCUCGAGACGCCGGUGGAAACCGUAAGGCUAGAGUCCGGAAGAGGAGAGUGGAAUUCCUGGUGUAGCGGUGAAAUGCGCAGAUAUCAGGAGGAACACCAGUGGCGAAGGCGGCUUCCUGGACCUGUUCUGACACUGAGGAGCGAAAGCGUGGGGAGCGAUCCGG